rnacentral:tRNA from 1 species
GAGGGUAUAGCUCAGUGGUAGACUGCAUGCCUAUCAUGCAAGAGGUCCUGGGUUCAAUCCCUAAUACCUCCA